AUAAACGCUGGCGGCGCACAUAAGACAUGCAAGUCGAACGGACUUAACCUAUAGUUUACUAUUGGAGCGGUUAGUGGCGGACUGGUGAGUAACGCGUAAGCAAUCUGCCUAUCAGAGGGGAAUAACAGUGAGAAAUCACUGCUAAUACCGCAUAAGCUGUGAGUAUCGCAUGAUACAAGCAGAAAAGGAGCAAUCCGCUGAUAGAUGGGCUUGCGUCUGAUUAGUUAGUUGGUAGGGUAACGGCCUACCAAGACGAUGAUCAGUAGCUGGACUGAGAGGUUGAACGGCCACAUUGGGACUGAGAUACGGCCCAG
rnacentral:rRNA from 1 species